GUGUUCGGGAGGAUCAAGGGGGGAAAGAAACCGACACACAACACAAAGUUAGUAGACAACGAAAAGAGCUCUCUCUCAACACUUGGGGCCGCCGAACGAACGAACGAACGAACGUUUACAUUUAUUUUAUUUUUCAAUUUCGGUUGGAAUUUUUUUUUUCUCUCUUCUCGUGAAACGACUGAUCGUAUUCGAGAGUUUACAGCCACGACGAUUAGCCACACGAGAGGGUGAAGGACGACGACCAUUGCCCGCAAAUAAUAAAAAAAUUUCGUAAAUAAAACGGGCGAGCAAUGAAAUGGCUCCUAGUGGCAAAUAAAACGACUUGAAACAAGAAAAUGAGAUUGGGAAAUAAUGACUCGAAAGAACUUUGGCGGGACUAUUAGAACGCCCGCACUCUGGCUGAGGUAAUCAUUUACGCAGUGAGCCGGACAAAAGGAGACAUCUAUGGAUUAGGAUUUCAACCUGAAAGCGCUGCGCUUUGUCCAUAUCUUGCUUCUUACCAGCGUCUAAGAAAUGACGCCAUCAACCUGUGGUUUCAGGGUAGAGGAAUAUCGCCCUCACGAUACAGCUGUAAUCGCGGCCUUGAGGUGAAAUCAACGGAAUUUUGUCAUCACGGUUCACUGAAUUUGCGCUCCGAUUGCCUUGAAUACAGGACGGUCAGAUUUAUACUAGCUAAAACUCCCUUCAUCGCCAACAUUUUUUCCAUUGAACUCCGAUUACGUAACAGCGCGAAAUGAUUUCCCGUAACGCCUGGUGAGGAAUGGGACACAAAACCGUGAGUGCCUUAUGGAUAGUCAUGAUCGCUGUCGCUGUCUACUGGCUAUACGAAAAAUUCGCAAUGCAUACUAAAAAAGCAUUCAAAUGGGAUUUGCCUGUACUUUCUUGAAGUGAAAAUGCCUAUGUGCCUAUGUGUGAUUGCGAAUAAAUGAUGUUUCUUAGUGA